GGGCUGGGGAAAAAGUUGGAACAACCAGGUAUGGAUGAGAGGAAAAGAUGACUCACAAAACCACCUGCUCUUAAAGUCACUCUCAGAAUCAACCUGCUAAGCUCCCUUUGGGAUAUGGAGAUUGGAUGGCACAACAUCUCUCAAAUUCAAAAGAAAGCAAAAGAAUUGAACUCAUUCGAUUGUUGAUUUAGAUCCACCUUCACUGAGAGCACACAGUACCGAAUCAACAGGAGACGACCACGAGUGGUUCUGCUUCAGCUGGUUCAUCUGUUUUCUCCCCUGCACCCCCAUUAUUUUCAUCCUCAUGUGAAUGCGCAGCCUCCCAAGUGUCUGUUCCUCAAUUACUCUCUGCAUGUCAUCAAGAUAACAUGGAACUCUGCAGUUUGCAGCCUAAACUGAACUCCAGCCGUUGUAAUGCUAACAUGUGAGGUGACUUGGAAAAAUGCAUACGCUCCUUAAACUGUUUUUUGUUAAAUAAAACUAGAAAAGUGUAUAUUAGAAACCCCUUUUUCAUGUGUAACAAUGAGGAUUAUAACAUGGGGGCCAUUAUUCAGUCCUCAUUUCUUGAUUUCUUGAUGCUGGGAACAUGUAUGUCUGAUUUACAGAUGGUUUUACAUUAUAUUAUAAGAGAAUAAACUCCAGCUUCAUAAUGUUGCCAAAAAAGUAACUUAUUUUAAAGGUUGGUUGAAUAAAUGGAUUUAGUCACAAAUUUAUUUAUUAAUCAAUUUAUUCAUAGCUAAAGUUUUUUUCUGUUCUUUUUUUUUUUUGAAAGACGCGCCUUUCCUUGAAACAAAUUUGAUCAAACUGUUAUUGUAGAAACAUGUUGACAAGUUAAAAGCAAACAUAUUUAUCUUGCUCUGAAAAUUAAGAACAUCUUGAAGAAACAGACUUUUUUAUUCUUUUCUGUAACAUGAUCAAAUCAAAUUUGAAAUAUUUGUUUUUUAUUUUCCAUUUCUUUAUUGACCAAUCAGAAUUCUGUAAAAGACCAUAAAAAUUGACUUUCAAAAAGGAAGGCUGACGUGUUUGAAUAUGAGUCAGAGCAGUUGUAUGAGAUGAAUAAAUUAUCUACAAGUUAUGGUUGUUUAUUGAAAUUCAUGUUAUUUAUUUGCAAAGGUUUAUGGUGAAAACUGUAAAACAAUUUUUCUUAGAUUUGACUGCAUUAAAGAACUUGUUUAGUGAGUUUGAAUUUUUGAUUAGAAAGAUUGAUUUUGUUCUUUAAUUUUCCAGUCUUAAAGCUUUUAACUCCACAUCCUCCUGCUUCA